UGCACAGUGUGGAUUAGUUGACU
rnacentral:miRNA from 1 species